UCAGAACAUCCACAAGCGAAACGUGUCUUCAUAUUUUGAUCGGAACUUUCGUAUUAAUGCCGCAGUAGUAAGAAACAAAAAUAAAAUUUGAUCACUUAGACAAAAAUGAGUUCGCUACAUACGCUUUAGUUAUAGUCAUCACUCAUCAUGUAUAUCUAAAAUAACAAUUUAAAAAAAUGUAAGAAUUUGACUCAAAAAAAUAAAAAGGGAACAAAGUCCGACCUGCCGGAAUCGAACCAGCGACCUAAAGAUUACAGCAACUACUACAGUCUUCCGCUCUACCAACUGAGCUAAGGUCGGAUAAUUAUUAGUAUACUCACACUAUAGAAAUAUAGCGCUUAUACUUUAAUAUGGGCCCCUAAUGGGCUUGAUUAGAAGGCAAAUUAUAUGCGUCAGCACAAUUUGAAAAGAACCAAAUUAGUCAAGUGAUGAUGGAGUUCGACCCUAAUUAGGACUCCCAUAAACAAAAAUCCAGCUAGCGGACUACAUACAUCGUUAAAAGACUAUUGGCUUGAUAGUUGAUACUGAACAACAAUAUGAAUUUUUAAUUUAUUUAUUUUU
rnacentral:tRNA from 1 species